rnacentral:rRNA from 1 species
UACAGAGGGGGCAAGCGUUGUUCGGAAUUACUGGGCGUAAAGGGCGCGUAGGCGGCCAUGCGUGUCUUCCGUGAAAUCCCUCGGCUUAACUGAGGACGUGCGGAAGAAACUGCAAGGCUCGAGUCCGGGAGAGGGGGGUGGAAUUCCCAGUGUAGCGGUGAAAUGCGUAGAUAUUGGGAGGAACACCGGUGGCGAAGGCGGCCCCCUGGACCGGUACUGACGCUGAGGCGCGAAAGCGUGGGUAGCAAACGGG